UUUUGGGUUUUUUAAUCUGAAUUUUCACACACAUAAUAAUAAAAAUGUUAGUUUUUUUGUUAAAUCACAAGGAAGAAAAAUAAAGUAAGCUGGUAUAUCACUCCCAUCCCUGGUCCUCACAAAUCCAUUUAUAGAAACUACAAUCCAUAGGCAAGAUUUUUUUUUUUUUUUUUUUUUUUUGGGGUGUGUGGGCGAAUUCUUCGUGAUGGGAUCAUCACAACAACAAAAAAAUACCCACACCUUUAGGUAACGUUAUCUAUAUUCGCUAGAAAAAAUAUGAGCUUUGGUAUUAAAAAAAAGAAGGAAAAAAAAGGUGAUGCCAUACGCACCUCUCCCACCCCCCCCCCCCCCCCCCCCCCCCCCCCCCCCCACCCCCAUGCGUACGGAACUGUGUUAUGUCGCAUACAUAAUCCGACUAGAUCUGUUUUAAUAUGUAUUUGCAAACGUAAUUACUUUCAUUUAUAAUAUAAUAAAGACAGUAUAAAAUUAUGCAUAACACUGGCUCUUGAAAAUGUUUAGUGAAAUCUUUACACAGGAAUCUGUACAUUUAAAUUCUAUUUAUUUAUAAUUCAAUUAAUUGGAAUCUGGAUAAUAAUUACGUUGUGUUUUGUUAUUACAUUGUUUAUUUCAUUAUAUGCAGAGUAAUCAUUUAUAAUGCUUAACAGACAGAAGGCCACAAAGGCGCUAGAUUAGUACAUAAUUAUGAUAAUAAUAAUAAUAAUAAUAAUUAUUAUUAUUAUAAGUCUGUGUCGUCUUAAAAGACGAACGAAGGUUAAAAGCGAUAAUAUGAUUGGUCGGUUCCUAAACAGUCAUACCUGGGAUUUGAUUGGCUUAGAGAUAACAACAGGAAAAAACGCGCCAUUUGCAGUUUGCCAAAAUAAAUUUAAUAAUAAAUAAUGACAAAAGAUUGUGUAUUUUGCAUUAUGAAUUGGAUUUGAGAUCGUUUUGAUUGAGCAGAAACAAUCACAGUUUAUUACCGAAUACUUGGCUAUGGCGGAAAAUGAAGAACUUCGAUCAAGUUUCGGAUGUCCUACUAUUUUCGUCACGUUUGGAAGGAAAAAAAGAAAAAUCGUCAGCACAUUCUGGUCAUCAUAUUAUGGAAAUAUUUGUGACUGAAUCCCAUCUGAAUGUUGGAUGACAUAUAUCAAGAUGACACUGAACAGGACAUAACUGAGGAAAAUGGAUGUGAGAUAAUCCAAUCUAACAGUUGGAAAUAAAUAUAUAUAGUAUUUA